GAUGAACGCUGACAGAAUGCUUAACACAUGCAGGUCAUUGGCGAAGCUGCGCUUGCGCAGUCUAGCCAAGGCGGACGGGUGAGUAACGCGUAAGGAACUUGCCCUGCAGACAGGGAUAACAGACGGAAACGACUGAUAACACCUGGUAUUGUCAGGCUGGCGCAUGCCGGCCUGAUGAAAGGAGACGCUGCAGGAGAGCCUUGCGUCCUAUUAGCUAGUUGGUGGGGUAACGGCCCACAAGGCGAUGAUAGGUAGCCGGCCUGAGAGGGUGAACGGCCACAAGGGGACUGAGAUACGGCCCUUACUCCUACGGGAGGCAGCAGUGGGGAAUAUUGGACAAUGGGGGCAACCCUGAUCCAGCAAUUCUGUGUGCACGAAGAAGGUUUUCGGAUUGUAAAGGGCUUUCAGCAGGGAAGAAGAAAGUGACGGUACCUGCAGAAGAAGCGACGGCUAAAUACGUG
rnacentral:rRNA from 1 species